rnacentral:rRNA from 1 species
UGGUAAUGCCGGAUGUUCCAGUUGAUCGCAUGGUCUUCUGGGAAAGCUUUCGCGGUAUGGGAUGGGGUCGCGUCCUAUCAGCUUGACGGCGGGGUAACGGCCCACCGUGGCUUCGACGGGUAGCCGGCCUGAGAGGGCGACCGGCCACAUUGGGACUGAGAUACGGCCCAGACUCCUACGGGAGGCAGCAGUGGGGAAUAUUGCACAAUGGGCGCAAGCCUGAUGCAGCGACGCCGCGUGAGGGAUGGAGGCCUUCGGGUUGUAAACCUCUUUUAUCGGGGAGCAAGCGUGAGUGAGUUUACCCGUUGAAUAAGCACCGGCUAACUACGUGCCAGCAGCCGCGGUAAUACGUAGGGUGCAAGCGUUAUCCGGAAUUAUUGGGCGUAAAGGGCUCGUAGGCGGUUCGUCGCGUCCGGUGUGAAAGUCCAUCGCUUAACGGUGGAUCCGCGCCGGGUACGGGCGGGCUUGAGUGCGGUAGGGGAGACUGGAAUUCCCGGUGUAACGGUGGAAUGUGUAGAUA